rnacentral:lncRNA from 1 species
UGCUGUCGAACGGAUGAUCCUGAAAUACCUAAACCCAAGUCAAGCUCCUUCAGUCAACAAGAACAAAGUUUAUAACAUAAUAAUGUUGGCGUAUGGACUUGAGAAACAACAUAAUGUUGGCCAGAAGGUGCAGAGACAAACUUGAAUGCAAGCUUUCUCAAAUUUUCCAAACAAUACAGAUGACAAAAUCAACAAAAUAGAAUGGAAAAUGACUUACACUUUUAAGGCAUGCUCGAAUCUUGAUCUAAAAUUGGUGCUGGGUCGAUUGUUGGUCACCAAAU